CAUGCAAGUCGAACGAGAAUCUGAUGAAGGAGUUUUCGGACAACUGAUUCAGAGGAAAGUGGCGGACGGGUGAGUAACGCGUGAGGAACCUACCUUGAAGAGGGGGACAACAGUUGGAAACGACUGCUAAUACCGCAUGAAGCAUAGAGGUCGCAUGAUCUUUAUGCCAAAGAUUUAUCGCUUCAAGAUGGCCUCGCGUCUGAUUAGCUAGUUGGCGGGGUAACGGCCCACCAAGGCGACGAUCAGUAGCCGGACUGAGAGGUUGAACGGCCACAUUGGGACUGAGAUACGGCCCAGACUCCUACGGGAGGCAGCAGUGGGGAAUAUUGGGCAAUGGGCGCAAGCCUGACCCAGCAACGCCGCGUGAAGGAAGAAGGCUUUCGGGUUGUAAACUUCUUUUAAGAGGGAAGAGCAGAAGACGGUACCUCUAGAAUAAGCCACGGCUAACUACGUGCCAGCAGCCGCGGUAAUACGUAGGUGGCAAGCGUUGUCCGGAUUUACUGGGUGUAAAGGGCGUGCAGCCGGGUCCGCAAGUCAGAUGUGAAAUCCAUGGGCUCAACCCAUGAACUGCAUUUGAAACUGUAGAUCUUGAGUGUCGGAGGGGCAAUCGGAAUUCCUAGUGUAGCGGUGAAAUGCGUAGAUAUUAGGAGGAACACCAGUGGCGAAGGCGGAUUGCUGGACGAUAACUGACGGUGAGGCGCGAAAGUGUGGGGAGCAAACAGGAUUAGAUACCCUGGUAGUCCACACUGUAAACGAUGAAUACUAGGUGUGCGGGGACUGACCCCCUGCGUGCCGCAGUAAACACAAUAAGUAUUCCACCUGGGGAGUACGAUCGCAAGGUUGAAACUCAAAGGAAUUGACGG
rnacentral:rRNA from 1 species